GACAGAGGGUGCAAACGUUGUUCGGAAUUACUGGGCGUAAAGCGUGCGUAGGUGGUUUGUUAAGUCUGAUGUGAAAGCCCUGGGCUCAACCUGGGAACGGCAUUGGAAACUGGCUUACUAGAGUGCGGUAGAGGGGUGUGGAAUUCCCGGUGUAGCAGUGAAAUGCGUAGAUAUCGGGAGGAACAUCUGUGGCGAAGGCGACACCCUGGACCAGCACUGACACUGAGGCACGAAAGCGUGGGGAGCAAACAGG
rnacentral:rRNA from 1 species